rnacentral:rRNA from 1 species
CCUACGGGAGGCAGCAGUGGGGAAUAUUGGGCAAUGGAGGAAACUCUGACCCAGCAACGCCGCGUGAAUGAUGAAGGUCUUCGGAUUGUAAAGUUCUUUUCUAAGGGAAGAAGAAAGUGACGGUACCUUAGGAAUAAGCCUCGGCUAAUUACGUGCCAGCAGCCGCGGUAAUACGUAGGAGGCGAGCGUUAUCCGGAAUGACUGGGUGUAAAGGGUGCGUAGGUGGUUUGGCAAGUUAGUAGCGAAACUCCAAGGCUCAACCCUGGAACUACUACUAAAACUGGUGGACUUGAGUGCAGGAGAGGCAACCGGAAUUCCUAGUGUAGCGGUGGAAUGCGUAGAUAUUAGGAGGAACACCAGUGGCGAAGGCGGGUUGCUGGACUGUAACUGACACUGAGGCACGAAAGCGUGGGGAGCAAACAGGAUUAGAUACCCCAGUAGUC